UACGGAGGGUGCAAGCGUUAUCCGGAUUUAUUGGGUUUAAAGGGUCCGUAGGCGGGUCUUUAAGUCAGUGGUGAAAGCCUGCAGCUUAACUGUAGAAUUGCCAUUGAUACUGGAGACCUUGAGUACACUUGGAGUAAGCGGAAUGUGUCAUGUAGCGGUGAAAUGCUUAGAUAUGACCCAGAACACCGAUCGCGAAAGCAGCUUACUAAAUUGUUACUGACGCUGAGGGACGAAAGCGUGGGGAGCGAACAGG
rnacentral:rRNA from 1 species